GCUCCUCACUCCAGAAGACAAUUAGACUUGUAUACUCUAACAAAUUCUUUCCAGUCCACUUUUAGCCUGGCGCUGCUCACACCACUAACUUUCAGCCUUGAGAAUGGACAUGAGCCAAUGAAAACGAACCAUAAUUCAUGGAUGCAGGGAUAAGAGCUCUCUGUGGAUGUACUGCUGUGAUGCACACAGGGUAAAUGCCUGGGAUUUUCUCUCAAGUGCAUUCUGCCCACAUGAAAUACAGAAGUCUACUUGGCUCCAGUAAUUCCAAAUUAUUCCAGUGACUUCUCAAGAGUGAUGAAUUUUAUAUUCAAAGACUAUCAAGGCUAAGAGGGAGAACGCUAAAUAAUAACUCAUAUGAUGCAGUAGAAAAGCUCCUUUGCUAAUUCUGGAAGUCGAUUAAUUGCCCUCUCACCCCCCAGCCUGGGUCACUGAGCGUUAUUGCAAGAGAAGCAGAGGUUUUCUGUAAGUAUCAUUUCAGAGAUCUGAUCUCAAAGCUC